rnacentral:rRNA from 1 species
UACGGAGGGGGCUAGCGUUGUUCGGAAUUACUGGGCGUAAAGCGCACGUAGGCGGCUUUGUAAGUUAGAGGUGAAAGCCCGGGGCUCAACUCCGGAAUUGCCUUUAAGACUGCAUCGCUAGAAUUGUGGAGAGGUAAGUGGAAUUCCGAGUGUAGAGGUGAAAUUCGUAGAUAUUCGGAAAAACACCAGUGGCGAAGGCGACUUACUGGACACAUAUUGACGCUGAGGUGGCGAAAAGCGUGGGGAGCAAACAGGG